CUCAGUCGAAGCGGGACUUCUUAAAGAGAACGGACGUCGUGGACGAGCGAUUUGUUCAUAAAUCUGACCAAAGCAAACACGAAUUAACACACAAGGAUUUACAUUAAAAUCAGUGCAUUGGAAGCAUUCCGUAAGGGCGACGCGGCCAUCUUUUUUUUCGCUCUCUAAUUCUCUUAUUGACCGAACUCUGCUUGAGCAGAGCUCAUUAGAAGCGGACUGCUUGAUGAAGACGAACGUAGCGGACGAAUAAUUUAUACUAAAAGCUCAACGAAACACAAAAGGAUUACAACACCAACACACACAAGGACUAAAAUUAACUCCGUGCAUUGGAAGCAUUCCGUAAGGGCGACGCGGCCAUCUUUUUUUUCGCUCUCUAAUUCUCUUAUUGACCGAACUCUGCUUGAGCAGAGCUCAUUAGAAGCGGACUGCUUGAUGAAGACGAACGUAGCGGACGAAUAAUUUAUACUAAAAGCUCAACGAAACACAAAAGGAUUACAACACCAACACACACAAGGACUAAAAUUAACUCCGUGCAUUGGAAGCAUUCCGUAAGGGCGACGCGGCCAUCUUUUUUUUCGCUCUCUAAUUCUCUUAUUGACCGAACUCUGCUUGAGCAGAGCUCAUUAGAAGCGGACUGCUUGAUGAAGACGAACGUAGCGGACGAAUAAUUUAUACUAAAAGCUCAACGAAACACAAAAGGAUUACAACACCAACACACACAAGGACUAAAAUUAACUCCGCGCCUUGGCUCAAAGAUGGGAUGCCUUGACCGACUUACAACCGAAACUGACGAUCCAUAUCACUU